UUUUUUUUUUUUUUUUUUUGUCUGAUUGUGUAGUUGUUGCUGUUAGGUCUGAGAUGAAUUGUAUCAUGCAGUUAUGAAGGUGAAAUUGAAUGGUCUGAAAAUGGAUCCAUCUUCUACUGCACUACCAGCAACCAUUAUAGAGCAAGCUGCCUCGCGGCUAGGAUGCAGCCCAACAGACAAGAAACUUGCUUUAUACUUAGAUGAAGAAGAUGAGUUAAAGCAUCUUCGUGAAUGUUUCUAUAUCCCGAAAGUCAAGGAUCUGCCUCCAACUGACCUGACCCUGGUAAACGGAGAGGAGAGCUGCAUAUACUUUGUUGGGAAUUCUCUUGGACUCCAGCCAAAAAAAGUUAAAACUUACCUGGAUGAAGAACUGGACAAGUGGGCUCGAACAGGAGUUCAUGGCCACUUCAAUGGGCAGCGCCCAUGGGCACUGGCGGAUGAAUGCCUUGUGGACCUGAUGGCUGAGCUGGUUGGUUCCCAAAGACAUGAAGUAGCCUUAAUGAAUGGACUAACUGUUAACUUGCAUCUCCUGAUGCUAUCUUUCUUUAAGCCUACUCCAACACGCUAUAAAAUUCUUCUAGAAGCCAAAGCCUUUCCCUCUGACCAUUAUGCUGUUGAGUCCCAGCUUCGAUUUCAUGGACUCGAUGUGGAGAAAAGCAUGCUCAUGCUGCGGCCACGGGAGGGGGAGGAGACCUUGAGGAUUGAAGAUAUUCUUGCUGUGAUUGAAGAGGAAGGGGACUCUAUUGCUGUUGUUCUGUUCAGUGGGGUGCAGUACUACACAGGCCAGCUGUUUGACAUCCCUAGAAUAACAAAAGCUGGCCAAAAAAAGGGUUGCUUUGUUGGAUUUGACCUGGCUCAUGCUGCUGGGAAUAUAGAGCUCCAUUUGCAUGACUGGGGAGUGGAUUUUGCAUGCUGGUGCACCUACAAGUAUUUAAAUUCUGGAGCAGGAGGCCUCGCUGCUGCCUACAUUCAUGAGAAGCAUUCCCAGAGUAUUCAACCAGCGUUAAUCGGCUGGUGGGGUCAUGAGUUCAAAACACGAUUCCUCAUGGAAAACAAAUUACAACUAAGUAAAGGAAUUAAUGGAUUUCGGUUAUCAAAUCCUCCGAUUUUAUUGGUCUGUUCUCUCCAAGCUGGUUUAGAGGUUUUUGGUCAAACUACAAUGAAAGCAUUGAGAAGAAAAUCUAUUCUGCUUACUGGUUACUUGGAAUACCUGAUAAAUCAUCACUACAGUGAGGAUAAAGCAAAUCCUGAGAAGCCCUUUGUAAAAAUCAUCACACCACCUCAGAUUGAAGAGAGAGGAUGCCAACUCACAUUAACUUUUUCUCUUCCCAUAAAGUCUGUGUUUGAGGAGCUGGAGAAGAGAGGAGUAGCUUGUGACAUGCGAGAACCAAAUGCUCUUCGUGUUGCCCCAGCUCCUCUCUACAAUUCUUUCCAGGAUGUGCACAGAUUUAUUGAAAUCUUGGGAUCUGCAAUUACUUCUUCAAAACAAACAGCAAACAAUACUGCACUAUCGGGUUCUUAUUGAUGGCUCUGCCAUAUCUUUUAAUCUACUUCUGACUAAGAUGCAUUUAUCCCACUAAGCGGUUCCUUGCUUUGAGUAGUCGUUUUGAAGUUGAUAGGCUUGAGAAAGCUGAGAAGGAUUUUACAUUCAUGUAACCUACUGUGAAGGGCUACAGGAGAACGUAUUGAGGUUUUAACAAGGCUUAUUUUGGAUUAAAAUAAAUGAAAACUGGAUUGUUUCAGCAAAAGCAGAGAGAAACCUCAUUGUUUACUCACAGUGUGGCCCAAAUAUUUAUAGAGAUUUGCACUUGGCAGCUAAGAGCAGUGAAGAAAAACUUCUUAUAUUUCACCAAUGCUAUACCCAGAACUGCUUUGAGAAAUAAAUAACACCUUGACCUGAAUGGCAACUGAGUUCCAAAGUCUGUAGCUAUUCUAUAUGCAUCUUUUUCUUCAAGAAUCUGUUAAUCUGGAAACCUUUCUCUCUGACGGUUAUUGCUUGGAAACGCUUGGAGAAUUACUGUUAGUAGUACUACUUAUUCCACUUCAAGAGUGAGAAUGGAUUUGUGGGGGAGAAGUGAGGACUACUCCAAACCACUUUGGCUCAAGAGCAUUUCUUCUGUUCGAACUAUUUGCAUAAUUGAGCAUCUCUCAGUGCAUGCUGGGGCUUCUGCAAAUGAGAAACCUUUAUAGUGGAUGCCAACACUGUAAAAGUACCCCAAAAAGGGUAGUUUUAAAAAAUCUGCCUGAAUAAGACCUUUUUCGUCAUCUGUUAUGUGAAAAGGAAAGCUGAAAGAACAGCAAAUAAAGAAUUUGCUGGUACUGUUAGCACCUGUGAGAAGUAAGAAGAGCUCCUUUUGCAUUAAUAUUGUUUUAAAGAGCAGCACUUGGGCAGCUCUGGCUCACUCAAGAGGUUCUGAUUGCAUUGACGUCAUCUAUUCUGAAGUCAGCCAAAGCUGUGCCAUUGUAUUGCAGACCAAGUAUCUGAGUUUCAGUGGCUGGGGUUUUAUUUUUAUAUGUACAUCUGCAGCACAGCUACUUUCAUCUGUCAGUGAGAUGACCUUAGAAAAGAACCAUUUUCCAUAAAGUUGAUGAGGGAAAGCAUCAAGUAUAAAACCGUGAUGGGCCACAAUAGCAAAAGGUGGUUUAUUUCACUGCCAGUAAGUUCAAAGCACUUGUGCAACUGGAUUAUUCUCUCUUAAGUCUUCACUGUAAAGUUAAGCAAGCUUAAUAGAAAUCCACACCGAGUCAUACUACGUCGUACCUUAUUUUGAUUUCAGCUGGACAUAUGCUGUGAGGAAGCAAAGCACGUCCAAAUAGCAUCUAGGAAUCAAGUUAGUAGAAUCCUUCUUGGAAUUUAUGAAGAGAACAAUGGUGAGGUUUUGUCCUUGCAGAGCAGUUCGGUAUCUGUGUUAAAUUCGCUCUCUGUGAAAGAAACUUCUUGCACUGGGGACUGUAAAAAGUGAAUUUUGUAAGUUGGUUUUAAAAGGAACAGGGAGCCCCGGAAAAGAUUCCUCUUGUGCUAAAUGGCAAGGAGUGUGAAUGUGCAGACACCAAAGCAGUGGCAGCAGUUGGAUGAAGAGAUGGCCAAGACACUUUGUCAACAUAAAGAUGAUUCACAAAACAUCAAUGACAUGAAAUGGCUGAAACUUCUAGAAAAACAAAUGGCAUCUAUCCACCCUGGAAGAAGACGUUAGAAAUGCUAAAUGAGAGCUCACACUUGAAUUAGGUCCAGCGUACUGACACUGUGUUUCUUCUUAAUGAGUGCUUUAUUUGAAGCUGCACUUGGGAGGUGAAAGGAAGUUGGAAGAAAUACCAAUCUUUCAGAAUAAUGCUUUGCAACUGUGAAGCUUUAAAAGAAAUGAGUGCACAUUUGCAAAGAUGCUUCUAUCUUUUCCUGAACUGAUACUUCCUAUGGAAAGAAAUGAGGUGAAGAUUUCCUCAGAGAAAAUGUCUAUACAUGGAUGUCCAUUUUCAACUACUUCUGAGUUAACUGCCUCUGAAAGGGUUAUAUCCACAUCUGAGCUGGAAAAAUGGCUUUGAUGCAGAAGCAAUAAAAUAUACAAGGGGCAAGGCUCUUUGGUUCUGUGUAGAGAAAGACAAAGGAGAACUUCAGCUUUAAAAGGCCCCUGUAAGAUGGCUCAUCAGGUACAAUAACAGCACCAGCAGUGGUAUUCCAAGCUCUGCCCCCAGGAGUUGCCAUUCCUGUUAGACUGCCUAAUUUUAAAAACACAGCUUUCAAUACUUUUCAUGAUGCUUCUGUUCUUCUACAAGGUCCAAAUAUGUCAGUAAGCUUUUCUGUUUCUUGACUUUGGGUUUGAGUUUCAGAUAGAUUAAAGUCCUUAUAAAAACAACCAUUAAUAACAUAUGGCUUUUUAUAAGAGGCUAACCUAAAAGUUUGUUGGUACUCAACUGGGAAAGAGGCUUCAGCCACUAGAAGGAAGGGAGGAAAUUGAAGGAAUAGCUCACCAUGAUCAGAACCAAAGCACUGCUUAGAUCUCUAGAACAGCCCAGUCAAAGCAAGUAUUGAGAAAACAUCCCUAGCACACCCUGACAAGAUAAGACCUAGUGCCUACCAGAGCAAAAAGAAGUAGUAAAGAACGAGUAUUGGAGACAUCUCUUGCUAAGAAGAACUCGCGGGUGGGGGAGCAUGACUGCAGGAGGGGAGCCCAAUAUAUUCCACUUACAUUUGCCUGAAGGAAGUAAGUUCAUAUUUUUGUCCAAUUUUAAAAAUAUAACGUGAUAACGUAUGACUGUAAUUGUGUAGAGUGAUGGUGGGUAAGGACAGGCAGGUAAGCCAUGAGCUGCAGCUUGGAGGGGUGCCUGAGUGUAAAAGAGACAUUGAAACCAGGCAGAACUGACAAAGGAAAAAAGCUGCUCUUUUUGAGCUGUGUGGCACCACCAGAACAACUGAUUCAUUAACAAAAAUGUGUCCACAUAGUUAAUCACGAGACUAUGAUCAGGGUGAUCAGAGGAAUCUAUGGGAGCUUCUGAAUCAGCUAUACUCAUCAGAGCAGGGCAAGAACAUAGACAUAACUUUCACUGCUAAAUUUCAGGUAACUGCUAGUGUGGGGUAGUGGCUAACCCUGCUGUAACUUGGUUUCUUCUGUUGGUGAUGCAGCCCUUCAGGGUGCUUCGUUUCUUUUCCGCCCAGAAGGGAACCUCAGGUCACAGCCUGGUUUCUGCAUUUCACCAUCCUGCUAUCAAGAGAUGUGUUAAGGAGCAUUUUUAGAUAUCAGUCUUUGUUGUUCGGGCUUCCUCUUUUCCUACAUCACGUGCUGCUUAACAUACAGUUGUGCAGAAGUGGUUUAUUAUGAUAUAUGUAUUUGUUGUGUACAGUGACAUGCUCAAAAUACUGGUAUUUGACUCAGAUUGAUCUGAAAAUCCCAUUCAUUGUCAUCAUUUAUGACUUCCUGCUUGAACAUAGUACAUGGGUAAUUUAAUGUACCUAAUUGUAAUCUGAGCUCCAUGCGUUGUUGAAUGAACAUGAGCUUGACGAGGUAAAUUCCUUCUGGAUCAAUGCAGGAGUGACAGGUGAACUAAAUUUGGAAGAAAUGACUCAACUUCUCAAAUUAACCAACAAGGUGUAGAUUAUUUUUCUGUUUCAGAUAUGGAUAAAGAAUAAAGUAAUGGUUUAUUUUUAAAAGAUCUGAAAUGCUGUAGAAGUAUGGAAGAAGCAUAUGACUGCUUCAUUUUCAUUAGUAUUUUUAUUUUAUUCAAACUUUCUUCCUUUGAAUGAAUAUUAAAACUGAAGUGAUAAAAUAAGGGGGAAAAAAACUGUGAAUCAUAAAAAUUAUACGCUGAAGUCUGUUAUCUUGACAUUUUUCUGAAUGAAUAUUGAAAUGCCUAGCAGAACUGGUCUUUAAGUUCCUCCAUCAGUAAACAGACCCAGACUUACUUGAAAAAAAAAUCUUUUUUUAUUUAGUUAUGAAAAGCAUGCUCUUAAUUAUAAUGAUGUUCAUGAAGUCUAAUGCUUUGCAAGACUGCUAUUUUCAAUUCAAAGGCUCUUCAAAAUCAUCUGAAAAAAAAACCCACACAAAAUACCUCAUAAUCUACAGUAAAUCUAUCCUAAAAAUAUUAGAAAGUGACUGAAAUAUGUACUAAUUGAAUGCAUUUAAUAUAUAUACACUUCUACAUGUAUGUAUAUAUGUGUUCUUUCUCAGAGAAUAGCAAGAUUUGUUUGUCUUCCAUUUUUUUAAAUGUUUAGAGAACAUUUAAGAGGAAUUUUAACAUGAUGAAAUCAAACUUUCAAUGAAAGCAGUGUCGUUAACUCUGAUAUAAGACAUCAGUUUUUCAGGGCUAUACAUUUUUUUGAACAUAGAUAGCAUUUUGUCUCUGAAGAGAAGAUAUUUGAUGAGUUUUAGGCUUUAAAGUUUCUGGCUGGAAAAAUUAGUCCAGAAUCUCAUCCUGUAGGAUGGGAAAAAAAAAAACCAAAAAAAAAACAUUCACUCUUCAGGAAAAAAAUGAUGUAUUUUUCUAAUUCUCUUGUGUACCUUUCUUUCAGCUGUUUACAUUGGAAGAGGUUCAACAGCUAUGAAUUUAGGGACUUAUGCUGCUAGUCCUUUAGACUUAUCUGUUCAUUGACCAAAAAACUGAGGAGAAAAAGAACACCUUAGAAUAUAAUGAUAAGGAAAUGUAUACGUAAGAUGAUGCGUAAGAGACAUUGCUGAGUAAUUCUAAUCUAUUUAAUUUAAUAUACUGAACAUAGUGAUUUGUGUGAAAUUACGUUACCCCUGUUAUAUGUCAAAUCUGUUCAGAACAGCUGCUUUGCAUUUCAUAUAUCAUAAUGGCAUAGACUGUAGAGUUCCAAUGUUUAAUUUUUUUUUGCAUCAUGGUCAUACUUCAGCUAUGCAAGCUUAUUCAUUGUUGAAAUAGGGCUGGUGCCUCCAUCACCCACUUGCUGCUGAAGGUCAUCUAAGGGUUCUGAGCUGAGGAUACAUGAGGAAUGAGUAGCCCUCGUUAAAAAGGAAGGAUAAACCAGGAUUAAGAAUUCUUGCAGGGAAUAUUUUUCCUAACAGGCCUAACAUUCAGUGCUGUUUUACUCAGAAGAACUGGGAAAGCUCAAGACGAUCGAAGCUUGAUAUAAAGUUAACGCACAUAGACCAACCUACGGACCAAAAAUAUGCUCCAG